GUGGGGAAUAUUGCACAAUGGGCGGAAGCCUGAUGCAGCAACGCCGCGUGCGGGAUGACGGCCUUCGGGUUGUAAACCGCUUUCAGCAGGGACGAAGCGCAAGUGACGGUACCUGCAGAAGAAGCACCGGCUAACUACGUGCCAGCCGCCGCGGUGAGACGUAGGGUGCGAGCGUUGUCCGGAUUUAUUGGGCGUAAAGAGCUUGUAGGCGGUUGGUUGCGUCGAAAGUGCAAACUCAGGGCUUAACUCUGAGCCUGCUUUCGAGACGGGCUGACUGGAGGAAGGUAGGGGAGAAUGGAAUUCCCGGUGGAGCGGUGGAAUGCGCAGAUAUCGGGAGGAACACCAGUGGCGAAGGCGGUUCUCUGGACCUUUCCUGACGCUGAGAAGCGAAAGCGUGGGGAGCAAACAGGCUUAGAUACCAUAGUAGUCC
rnacentral:rRNA from 1 species